rnacentral:rRNA from 1 species
GUCCACGCCGUAAACGAUGGGUGCUAGGUGUCGCGGGUAUUGACCCCUGCGGUGCCGUAGCCAACGCAAUAAGCACCCCGCCUGGGAAGUACGGCCGCAAGGCUAAAACUCAAAGGAAUUGACGGGGGCCCGCACAAGCGGUGGAGCAUUUGGUUUAAUUCGACGCAACGCGAAGAACCUUACCUGGGCUAGAACUCACAAGAACCUUGUGGAAACAUGAGGGUGCUCGCAAGAGAACUUGUGGUGAGGUGCUGCAUGGCUGUCGU